AAUUAGAGUGAAAUUGAAAAAUUAAAUGUUGAAAAAUGUCACCAAACGGAGUCAAAGGUGAAUUCAAUUUUAGCGCAAUUUUUAGCCGCCAAAUCAGAAGGCAGCAGAAGAGGAGACUUGUUUAUCAAUUCAUUUCGCAUUUACUGUUUCAUCUUGGUGUUUAUCAGAGUGGACAAUUUCAAUCUUUCUUGGUGGUCUUUUUUAAUCUUCUCCUCCUUCUCUUAAAAAGUGAUAAUUGGUGAUGAGAUGAGAAAAGGAAUCUUUGUUAUUCAUUCUACCUUAAAGUUAUCCCCAUUAUUUAAUUUCUCUCUGGUUCAUUUGAGACUCAUUGGUUCCCAUCGGAGAGCAAAGCAAAGCGAGCAAAGAUGAAUGAACAGUUACAUGGUUCCUUUUGGUUGUACUUUUGCCUCUUUACAUAAAUCUAUUUGCUAUAUGUAUGUCUACACAUAACUGAACUGGAUUCCAAAACCAUAGGAAGAGAAGCUUUAACUUUCAUUGUCACCGGUCCGAGCAAGUUUUCUGUUAGAGAUUCAAUAAUCAUCAGCCUGGAACACUUGAUAAGAUAAGUUAAUAAUGGAAUACAUCUUAAAUUGCUGUUUCAACCUUCAAUUGCUGCUGGUGGCUUUUCACUUGUCUUUUGGCCUACCUGUUUCUUUGUCAAUGAUGUAAUCUAAAUGGUAUCAGUAAAAUGUAUUUGCAGAUUCCUUUUGCCGUUUUCAUGGCCAGAAAAAAAUAAUUCAACAACAAAAGCCUCGUAACCUAUGGUUUCUAAUCUAAUAUAUUACCUGCUUAAUCAAUUA